GAUGGGAGCUUGCUCCCUGAUGUUAGCGGCGGACGGGUGAGUAACACGUGGGUAACCUGCCUGUAAGACUGGGAUAACUCCGGGAAACCGGGGCUAAUACCGGAUGGUUGUUUGAACCGCAUGGUUCAGACAUAAAAGGUGGCUUCGGCUACCACUUACAGAUGGACCCGCGGCGCAUUAGCUAGUUGGUGAGGUAACGGCUCACCAAGGCGACGAUGCGUAGCCGACCUGAGAGGGUGAUCGGCCACACUGGGACUGAGACACGGCCCAGACUCCUACGGGAGGCAGCAGUAGGGAAUCUUCCGCAAUGGACGAAAGUCUGACGGAGCAACGCCGCGUGAGUGAUGAAGGUUUUCGGAUCGUAAAGCUCUGUUGUUAGGGAAGAACAAGUGCCGUUCAAAUAGGGCGGCACCUUGACGGUACCUAACCAGAAAGCCACGGCUAACUACGUGCCAGCAGCCGCGGUAAUACGUAGGUGGCAAGCGUUGUCCGGAAUUAUUGGGCGUAAAGGGCUCGCAGGCGGUUUCUUAAGUCUGAUGUGAAAGCCCCCGGCUCAACCGGGGAGGGUCAUUGGAAACUGGGGAACUUGAGUGCAGAAGAGGAGAGUGGAAUUCCACGUGUAGCGGUGAAAUGCGUAGAGAUGUGGAGGAACACCAGUGGCGAAGGCGACUCUCUGGUCUGUAACUGACGCUGAGGAGCGAAAGCGUGGGGAGCGAACAGGAUUAGAUACCCUGGUAGUCCACGCCGUAAACGAUGAGUGCUAAG
rnacentral:rRNA from 1 species